UGUACUGGUAGUUGUUUGGACAGUGGAGAGAGCUCGGGUGAAAUGUAAACGUCGAAUACGCAGCCAGACCUGCAAACUACGGGACAGGUACAGGAGGAAAUGGAAGGCCUACACACCUUUUUUGCAUCAAUUGGGUGGAUAGAGGGACAUAGAAAUUGUCGUGUACUGGCACAGAUGAAGUCACUCUGAUAGCCCCAGAAGCCUUCUCUCAGGGGACACAAGCAACAGGAAAGAAAAGGUGGCAGCUGCUGAAUAAAUGCCUGCUAGAAUGCUGCAAAGAAUGGGAAGCUACGAGAGUGCCUAUCUGGGGACGAAGAGCUGAACAAAUUAUGAUAUUUGAAUGUAACAGAAUACUAUUGUGCCAUAAAGAACAAUGAUGAGGGUGGUUUUGGAGAAACCUGGGAAGGCUUGUUGUGAAGUGAGCAGAACCAAGAAAUUAAUUUAUAUAAUAACAACCAAGUCGAAUGAACUCUGAUCAAAUAAAUAACCAACGAUGAUUCUGGAAGACUGUUGGUGAAGCAGUCUCCUGAAAGAAAGGUGACAGAUUCAGGGUACAGAAUGAAACAUAUAGUUUUUUGACUAAGGCAAGGUGGCAUUUUGUUUUGCUUGACUAGGCAUAUUUGUUCCAAGGAGUUUUCUUUUAAUGGUGAGGGUGGGAUAGGGAGAGAAAAUAGAUAUUAACUGAAAAAAACUAAAAUUUAAUUUAAAAAAAGAUGGGGUAGGGGGUGGGUGUCUCAAUUGUUGUCUCUGUCAAUCUGCUAUUAACACUAACUCCUGCUAAUAAGGGAAAGACCCCCAAGCAGAAAGAGACAAAUAUCAAGGAGAACUCUAAGAAAGGCAAGAGUGGCCUGGUGGCCAGAGAAACUCAGGGCCUGAGAAGCUAGGUAGGAUAGAGAACAGAGGAGAACAGAUAAUUCUCUUAAAGUCAGCUAAAUUGAACCAAUCAACUGAAAUAGAAGAGCAUGGGCAGGUGGGGGUAGGGAGUGGGGGCAGCUGUAGUGUGCGAGGAGUUCCUCAUCCCAAUGGAUGGCUCUAUCUGUGUAUACCUGUAGAGCUCAGUUUUAUUUUCUUCUAUCAUAUGUAUUUUACAACUGGGAGGGACCUCAGAGGCCAUCUAGUAAUUUUACACAUGAACAAAUUGGGGCCCAGAGAAAUGAAAUGAUUUGCCCAAGGUCCUAUAUGGUAGUUAUAUGAUUAAGACCCAAAUUUCUAGACUCUCAGUCUGCUGUUCUUUCUUCUAUACAACUCUACAUCUUUCCUUUUAUUUUUGGUUUUGACUUUGUGGACAGUUUCCCCCUUCCCAAACUUGCUCUUCUCCCUCAGGAAGGGGGCUUCCUACUUAGGAAUGUCCCUUUAGGGGAGUGAUCCUUCUUAUCAUGGAGAGACUUGAUCCCAGGGCCUCAAAAAUCUGAGAAUACUUCAUCCCACCCACAAAACCCUCAAUCCCCACAAACCCACCCCACAGGCUCUUGGGGAGACACACAUCAGGACAAACAAACAAUUUAAAAGUUGAGUUGGGUCUCUCUGGCUAAAGCUAUGAUUUCAGCUUUAAUGACAGUAAUUAUACCUUAUGCAGCUGAAAUGAGCUAAUUCCUUUUGUGGUAUCAUUUUGCUGUCCUCAGCCAUACUGCCUUCUCUUCGGUCCAUGUGGUAUACUGGAUGGAGUGCUGGACUGAAGUCAGAAAGACUUGGGUUCAAAUCGUCCCUCUGACACUUAUUGGCUAUGCGACCGAGUGCCUUCAUCUUUGUGAGCCUCAGUUUCCUCGACUGUUACUUCAGGUGGUGGGCCUAGAAGGCCACCGAGGUACCUUCCAGCUCUAAAUCUAUGUCCCUGUAUAUCCUCUGGGGGACUCUUCAAUUUGGUUGGAUUCACUCUUGUACACUGACACCCCUUUUCACAAGAAAGCCAAGUCGCACAUCUAAGCUCCAUAACACCAGGUAUGGGUAAUGUAUCAAUGUGCUAAGGCCAAAGGGGAGCGCACCUUAGGCACAACACACGUCAGGUCACAGAACUCCCUUGGGCCUGCUUUACACCAUCAGAUCUCAUUACACUCAGUAUCAGAGAACAUUAGAGCUGAAGGGAAAUAAGCCAUGUCAUUCAACCUCCUCGUGUUAAUAACAACAUCGGUAAUACCUGAUAUCAGCAUGCCACUCUUGCAAUGAGCCUUAUAUACACUGUUUCAUGUAAGCCUCACAAUUGUGAUGUGGGUACUACAGGUAUUAUCAGCCCCGUUUUGCAGGUGAGGAAGCUAUGUGAUACAGUAGAUAAAGCCC